GGCUCAACUUAGCACAGGCGGAACUCGACCGCCCACUGAAGCGAUGAUUGCCUUUAUUGAAGAUCAGCGUAGCGUUUACGGUGUCGAGUCGAUCUGCAGGGUGCUGCCGAUCGCGCCG
rfam:Celeribacter halophilus strain CGMCC 1.8891 genome assembly, contig: Ga0070548_102